GGAAGAGGAACCAGGAAAGGAGAAUGAAGAAGCAGCUUAACACAAACUCCUUGAAGACCUUGCUCAGUGCCUGGCACAUGGCAGGCUGGAGAAACCAGGAUUGUGGAUAACAGUGAUUUGGAGAUCCUGGGACCAAUUUAAGACAAGCUCACAUUUCGCUGAUGCCUCAGCUCCGGAGCAAUGAGCAAGGCAAAGGCUGCACUUGGGUGCCGGGAAUUCCAAUCCCAAGAACGGAGAGAAAGACCGGAGGGUAGAUGAGGUGGGUGAGUGGCAAACUCCUUUGAGAGAGAAUUGAAUCUGCUCCCAGAAAGGAUGUUGGAAACGAGGUUAUUAGCUUGCUCUGGAGA